ACUAAUCUAUUAAAAAUCAUCUUACUAAGAGUGGAUCAAACUGCAUGCUCAUAUACGGAUAUAGGAUUUGAAGAUGUCUCUUAAUGAUACACUCAAUUCUAAAUGGACUAAGGAAGGAAAGUGGUUGAAAGAGUGAACCAUAUAAUUAUUUAAUAAACUUCAUUCAAAUGCCACUCAAUAAAUUGCUGCAUAACAUGCAUCUCUUAGCCGCAGUCUGCCAACAAGCUCGAUCCACAGCGAUAUCCUCAAUAAACUGCUCCAUACUUAAUAUACGGUUAGGAUUAACGGAAGCGAAAUAAACAAAUUUGAUAAA